AGAGUUUGAUCCUGGCUCAGAGUGAACGCUGGCGGCAGGCCUAACACAUGCAAGUCGAACGGCAGCACAGCAGUAGCAAUACUGUGGGUGGCGAGUGGCGGACGGGUGAGGAAUGCGUCGGAAUCUGCCUAUUUGUGGGGGAUAACGUAGGGAAACUUACGCUAAUACCGCAUACGACCUACGGGUGAAAGUGGGGGACCUUCGGGCCUCACGCAGAUAGAUGAGCCGACGCCGGAUUAGCUAGUUGGCGGGGUAAAGGCCCACCAAGGCGACGAUCCGUAGCCGGUCUGAGAGGAUGAUCAGCCACACUGGGACUGAGACACGGCCCAGACUCCUACGGGAGGCAGCAGUGGGGAAUAUUGGACAAUGGGCGCAAGCCUGAUCCAGCCAUGCCGCGUGUGUGAAGAAGGCCUUCGGGUUGUAAAGCACUUUUGUCCGGAAAGAAAUCCUUUCGAUUAAUACUCGGGAGGGAUGACGGUACCGA
rnacentral:rRNA from 1 species